GGUCAGGAUGAACGCUAGCUACAGGCUUAACACAUGCAAGUCGAGGGGCAGCAUGAGAUUAGCUUGCUAAUCUUGAUGGCGACCGGCGCACGGGUGAGUAACGCGUAUCCAACCUUCCCCUACUCAGGCAUAGCCCGGUGAAAACCGGAUUAACUCCUGAUAGUUUCACUAGAUGGCAUCUGACGGUGAAUAAAGCUUUGCGGUAAGGGAUGGGGAUGCGUCUGAUUAGCUUGUUGGCGGGUAACGGCCCACCAAGGCGACGAUCAGUAGGGGUUCUGAGAGGAAGGUCCCCCACAUUGGAACUGAGACACGGUCCAAACUCCUACGGGAGGCAGCAGUGAGGAAUAUUGGUCAAUGGGCGCGAGCCUGAACCAGCCAAGUAGCGUGCAGGACGACGGCCCUAUGGGUUGUAAACUGCUUUUGUGCGGGAAUAAAGUCAGGGACGUGUCCCUGUUUGCAUGUACCGCAAGAAUAAGGACCGGCUAAUUCCGUGCCAGCCGCCGC
rnacentral:rRNA from 1 species